rnacentral:lncRNA from 7 species
AGCACACAUUUCUCCUCAGAAAUCCCCCUUUUUAACCCCAAAUCACACAUUUUCUCUUGGAAAAUCCCCCAUUUACCCCAAAAUCAUGCUUUAUCUCUUCAAAAAAUACCCCAUUAUCCCCCAAACCAACACUCUUCUCUAGGAAAAUCCCCCAUUUAACUCGGAAAUCACACAUCUUCUCUAGGAAAAUCCCCCAUUUAACUCGGAAAUCACACUUUUGCUCUUCAAAUACCCAUUGACCCCAAAAUCAAACAUUUUUGCUACAAGAAUCCCCCAUGUAUCCAAAAAACACGUUU